UGGGGAAUAUUGGACAAUGGGCGCAAGCCUGAUCCAGCCAUGCCGCGUGAGUGAUGAAGGCCCUAGGGUUGUAAAGCUCUUUCGCCAGGGACGAUAAUGACGGUACCUGGAUAAGAAGCCCCGGCUAACUUCGUGCCAGCAGCCGCGGUAAUACGAAGGGGGCUAGCGUUGUUCGGAAUCACUGGGCGUAAAGCGCACGUAGGCGGAUCUUUAAGUCAGGGGUGAAAUCCCGAGGCUCAACCUCGGAACUGCCUUUGAUACUGGAGGUCUCGAGUCCGGGAGAGGUGAGUGGAACUGCGAGUGUAGAGGUGAAAUUCGUAGAUAUUCGCAAGAACACCAGUGGCGAAGGCGGCUCACUGGCCCGGUACUGACGCUGAGGUGCGAAAAGCGUGGGGAGCAAAACAGGAUUAGAUACCCUGGUAGUCCACGCCGUAAACUAUGGAUGCUAGCCGUUGGGCAGCUUGCUGUUCAGUGGCGCAGCUAACGCUUUAAGCAUCCCGCCUGGGGGAGUACGGUCGCAAGAUUAAAACUCAAAUGAAUUGACGGGGUCAUAGCUGUUUCCU
rnacentral:rRNA from 1 species